UACGGGGGGGGCAAGCGUUGUUCGGAAUUACUGGGCGUAAAGGGCUCGUAGGCGGCCAACUAAGUCGGAUGUGAAAUCCCCAGGCUCAACUUGGGAACUGCAUCCGAUACUGGAUGGCUUGAAUUCGGGAGAGGGAUGCAGAAUUCCAGGUGUAGCGGUGAAAUGCGUAGGUAUCUGGAGGAACACCUGUGGCGAAAGCGGCGCACUGGACCAUAACUGACGCUGAUGCGCGAAAGCUAGGGGAGCAAACAGG
rnacentral:rRNA from 1 species